UAGUGGCGAACGGGUGAGUAAUACGUGAGUAACCUGCCUUUAACUCUGGGAUAAGCCUUGGAAACGGGGUCUAAUACCGGAUACGACCAACCCUCGCAUGGGGUGUUGGUGGAAAGGGAUUUUGUACUGGUUUUAGAUGGGCUCACGGCCUAUCAGCUUGUUGGUGAGGUAACGGCUCACCAAGGCGACGACGGGUAGCCGGCCUGAGAGGGUGACCGGCCACACUGGGACUGAGACACGGCCCAGACUCCUACGGGAGGCAGCAGUGGGGAAUAUUGCACAAUGGGCGCAAGCCUGAUGCAGCGACGCCGCGUGAGGGAUGACGGCCUUCGGGUUGUAAACCUCUUUCAGCAGGGGAGAAGCGAAAGUGACGGUACCUGCAGAAGAAGCGCCGGCUAACUACGUGCCAGCAGCCGCGGUAAUACGUAGGGCGCGAGCGUUGUCCGGAAUUAUUGGGCGUAAAGAGCUUGUAGGCGGUUUGUCGCGUCUGCUGUGAAAGCCCGGGGCUUAACCCCGGGUUUGCAGUGGGUACGGGCAGACUAGAGUGCAGUAGGGGAGACUGGAAUUCCUGGUGUAGCGGUGAAAUGCGCAGAUAUCAGGAGGAACACCGAUGGCGAAGGCAGGUCUCUGGGCUGUAACUGACGCUGAGAAGCGAAAGCAUGGGGAGCGA
rnacentral:rRNA from 2 species